UCAGAAAGGAGCCACCUUUCUUCAGAAGCAAGAAACACAAUUUUUAGGGUUUCUCUCUUCCGUUUCCGAGAAAGCACAGCGUUGGUUGUUGCUGCUUUGUACCAUGGAUGCCGUGGAGAAAUUGGAGCGCUUUUCACUGGUUUCCAAGGUAUGUACCGAGUUGGAAUCUCAUAUCGGAACCGGCGAUAAGAUUCUCGCCAAAUUUAUUAUCGAUUUGGGUCACUCGUCGGAGUCUGUUGAAGAUUUCGAUUCCAAAUUGAAAAAAAAGGGGGCUGACAUGCCGGAUUAUUUCGUUCGAACUCUUCUUACUGUUAUUCAUGCUAUUCAUCCUCCUAAUCCUAACCUGGAGACGGAGAAGGAGAAUCCGACGAAGGAAAACGCUUCCUCGAAGACUAAGUUUAAGGCAUUGGCGAUUUCAGAUGAUAGGGAUCAGGCUAAGGAGCUUUGGAAUGAGAUUGAAGCUGAGGCUAGACAGAAACAGAAGCAGAUGGAACCAGACAGGUAUGAAAAAGGUGCUAUGCGCGAAAGAGAUGAUAGAAGGGGGAAUGAUAGAGAAAGAGGAAGAUACAGAGAUGAUAGGCGCGGAAGAGAUGAUAGAAUGGGGAAUGAUAGAGAAAGAGGAAGAGGCAGAGAUGUUAGGCGCGGAAAAGAUGAUAGAAGGGGGAAUGAUAGAGACCGAGAUAGGUACCAAAAUAAAAGGGGGAAUGAUAGGGAUAAAUAUGAGAGGCGGAGGAGAGAUGACUAUGAAGAGUAUGAAGAUGGAAGGGGAGGGAAUAUUGAUGAGAAAGGUUGUAAAGAAAGAAAUUUGAGGCGUGAUGGAUCCGGUGAACCUGAGUUGUAUAGGGUUUAUAAAGGAAGAAUUUCUCGGGUGAUGGAUACUGGGUGUUUUGUGCAGUUGGAUGAUUUAAGAGGGAAGGAGGGUUUGGUUCAUGUUUCUCAGAUGGCUACUAGGAAGAUCAUUAAUACUAAGGAAGUUGUUAAAAGGGAUCAACAGGUUUAUGUGAAGGUGAUUUCAGUUUCUGGUUCUAAGUUGAGUCUUUCUAUGAGGGAUGUUGAUCAGCGUACUGGGAAGGAUCUUCUUCCAUUGAAGAAGAGCUCAGAGGAGGAGGCUUUUAGGAUAAAUCCACAAGAUUCGAAAGAUGGGCCGGUGACUAGGACUGGGCUUUCUGGGAUCAGGAUUGUGGAGGAGGAUGAUAUUGGUUCUACGCGCAGGCCGCUAAAGAGAAUGAGCUCUCCUGAGAUAUGGGAAGCAAAACAGUUGAUUGCUUCAGGGGUUUUGAGUGUAUCGGAAUAUCCGACUUAUGAUGACGAGGGAGAUGGAGUGAUGUACCAAGAGGAAGGCGCCGAGGAAGAGCUUGAGAUUGAGAUGAAUGACGAUGAACCCGCCUUCUUGCAAGGGCAGAGCAGGUACUCAAUGGAUAUGUCUCCUGUCAAGAUCUUUAAGAAUCCAGAAGGUUCUCUGGGUCGUGCUGCUGCGCUCCAAUCUGCGCUUAUAAAGGAGCGUAGGGAAGUAAGAGAACAGCAGCAGCGUACCAUGCUAGAUUCAAUUCCAAAGGAUCUCAAUCGUCCUUGGGAGGACCCUAUGCCAGAGUCCGGUGAAAGACAUCUUGCCCAAGAGUUGAGGGGUGUUGGCCUAUCGGCCUAUGAUAUGCCAGAAUGGAAGAAAGAUGCCUAUGGGAAAGCCAUUACUUUUGGGCAAAGGUCAAAGCUUUCUAUUCAAGAACAGAGGCAGAGUUUGCCAAUUUACAAGUUGAAAAAAGAAUUGAUUCAGGCCGUCUUAGAUAAUCAGACCUUGGUUGUGAUUGGUGAAACUGGUUCAGGUAAGACUACACAGGUCACACAGUAUCUUGCUGAAGCAGGUUACACCACCAGAGGUAAAAUUGGAUGUACUCAACCCCGUAGAGUGGCUGCAACGUCCGUUGCAAAGAGAGUUGCAGAAGAGUUUGGGUGUAGAUUAGGAGAGGAAGUUGGUUAUGCCAUUCGAUUUGAGGAUUGCACUGGACCUGAUACUGUAAUCAAGUACAUGACUGAUGGUAUGCUUCUUAGGGAAAUUUUGGUUGAUGAGAAUCUGUCACAGUAUUCUGUUAUCAUGCUUGAUGAAGCCCAUGAGAGAACUAUUCAUACUGAUGUUCUUUUUGGACUGCUCAAGCAGCUGGUGAAGCGGAGACCUGAGCUGCGAUUGAUUGUUACAUCUGCUACUCUUGAUGCUGAAAAAUUUUCAGGAUAUUUCUUUAACUGUAACAUCUUCACAAUUCCUGGGAGAACUUUUCCCGUGGAGAUACUUUAUACCAAACAGCCAGAAAGCGAUUACUUGGAUGCGUCUUUGAUCACUGUUCUACAGAUCCACUUGACAGAACCUGAAGGAGACAUUCUUCUCUUCUUAACUGGUCAGGAGGAGAUUGAUUUUGCUUGUCAGUCUCUCUACGAGAGAAUGAAAGGUUUAGGUAGGGAAGUUCCAGAGCUGAUCAUUUUACCUGUUUACAGUGCACUUCCUAGUGAAAUGCAAUCUAGAAUAUUCGAUCCCGCUCCUCCUGGGAAAAGGAAAGUGGUUGUUGCUACUAACAUUGCUGAAGCUUCUUUGACUAUUGACGGGAUAUUUUAUGUUAUUGAUCCUGGUUUCGCUAAGCAAAAUGUUUAUAACCCGAAACAAGGUCUUGAUUCCUUGGUGAUAACUCCAAUAUCACAAGCCUCAGCCAAACAAAGAGCUGGACGAGCAGGGCGUACUGGACCUGGAAAGUGCUAUCGCCUCUAUACUGAGAGUGCAUAUAGGAAUGAGAUGUCACCUACUUCUGUUCCAGAGAUUCAAAGGAUAAAUCUGGGCAUGACUACUCUUAGCAUGAAAGCCAUGGGCAUAAAUGAUCUUCUGUCAUUUGAUUUUAUGGACCCACCAUCACCCCAAGCACUUAUUUCUGCCAUGGAGCAGCUUUACAGUCUUGGAGCAUUGGAUGAAGAGGGCCUGCUAACCAAAUUGGGGAGGAAAAUGGCUGAAUUUCCUCUAGACCCACCACUGUCCAAGAUGCUACUUGCCAGUGUUGACCUUGGAUGCAGUGAUGAGAUAUUGACCAUAAUUGCCAUGAUCCAAACCGGCAAUAUAUUUUACAGGCCCAGGGAAAAACAGGCCCAAGCAGAUCAGAAAAGGGCGAGAUUUUUCCAGCCAGAGGGUGACCAUCUUACAUUACUUGCUGUUUAUGAGUCCUGGAAAAAUAAAAACUUUUCUGGCCCCUGGUGUUUUGAGAAUUUCGUCCAAUCUCGAUCUUUGAGAAGAGCCCAGGAUGUAAGGAAACAACUUCUCACCAUCAUGGAUAAGUACAAAUUGGAUGUUGUGAGUGCUGGAAAAAACUUCACGAAGAUUCGGAAGGCUAUUACUGCUGGGUUCUUUUUUCAUGCAGCUAGAAAGGACCCCCAAGAAGGUUAUAGAACACUAGUUGAGAAUCAGCCUGUAUAUAUCCAUCCAAGUUCAGCUCUGUUCCAGAGGCAGCCAGACUGGGUCAUAUACCAUGAGCUUGUAAUGACAACGAAGGAAUAUAUGCGUGAGGUCACAGUCAUAGACCCCAAGUGGCUUGUUGAAUUGGCUCCAAGAUUCUUUAAAGUGGCAGAUCCUACAAAGAUGAGCAAACGAAAGCGUCAAGAGCGUAUUGAACCACUUUAUGAUAGAUACCACGAGCCUAAUUCAUGGCGUUUGAGUAAACGCCGUGCAUGAUAUGCCUUUGUCAGUUACUCUUAAUGCAAGGUUAUAGAUACAAUUUAUGUUGGAUUUAGUAUUAAACCGCAAUGUCAAGACCCCUCAUUCUGAUAUUUGAUUUAAACAAGGGUUACAUAAUCUUAGGGAAAUGUUGGAAACUUUGUCUUGGAGGUAUGUUAUGUUUUAUAUAAGAUUGAAAUAGAAUUAUCUUGAACAGGAUUUGAAAAAUGCCAUGACUACUUUGCCGGAAAAUUUUCAAAAGGAGUAUGUCAAAACUGCUAAUGAAUUGGUUGAUUACUUGACUGAGGUAUAUAUGUAUAUUGUAUGCUUAGCUUUGGUAAUUUGAUUAAUGAAUUCAACUAUAUGUUUUUUUUGAAACUAUUGGCAUAAAAUUUGUGUUUUGGUAUUGUGAUUUUUGGUGUUUCUGUUUUCAGAUGGAUCGUUAUGUUCGAUCGCCAAAGAUAUAUGAAUCGUACUUAUACUAUGAGAAGACAUUGAAAUCAAUAGAUGAACUUGUAGCUAUGAUAGCAUAGUAAAAAGUUUCAGCAGUUGUUGAAUCUUGUCUAAAGUCUAUUGAUGGAUGCCUGAUGAUACAGAUCUCAUAGACUCAGCCUAAAUCAACCUUUCAUAAUGAACAUCACCAACCACCAAGUACAGUUGAAGACAUGUUCCCGAUAGGGGUGGACAACAAGUCGGGUUGGGUGGGUUCGGGCCCAAAAGUCUCACUCACUCCAAACCGUGGUUGACUUUGAAAGGCCCAUUUGCCCAAUAUUAAACUCGGUUUUUGCGGGUUGGCUGCGGGAUAUUGGAUUGGCUGCGGGAUAUUGAAACAACUCUUGAUUCUCUAUCAGCAGGGUAGCGAUAUAGAGGUACAAUAUUAGAAGCCAAUCUUAAACUUGUACAUAAAUGAAACACAAGAUUCUUUUAUCAUUUUUCCAUGCAUUGCAACUGAACGUACUUCAACAUAGUUUAAACACAAAAUGACUUUUCUAUAGAACAAAAUAAGGCAGUAAGUGAAAAAAAUAGCACAAUUACAGAUUUGAAAUAUUUUUUUUCAAAAUAUAGUACCUGUAACAUGGAACACCUGCACCAUGGAAUAUUUCAGAGUAUAUCACUAUAGCAUGUUACUAAGAAUAACAAAAGUAACUAGUGAAACACAAACAAUACUCACAUAAGUUUCUCAUAUACAUAUUACCAUUUCUAUAUGUAUCAAUAGUGUGCCAAAUGAGACAACACUAUAACAGUUAUUAUUGUAUUCACCAAAUUUUUUCACCUUCAAUAAAAUUGCUUGAACUAUAUUUGUUUAUGCAACUGUGGUUUCAACAUAAGCAGUUUAUAAUAAAAUUCUGAUGUCUUGGUCUGUUGGAUUUUUGGUAUUAGGAAAAAUUAAGCGGGUGUCAGGUCAAAAUAAAAGAGUGUCAGAAAAUUAGUUUACUAAUAACCUCUAGCACUCUUUUUUGGGUCUUGUAUAAAAUGAGUACAAUACUUCAAUCUAAGCCUAAAAAAUCAUUGAUAAAAAAAAUAAAAAAAUGACAUUAAGUAUAAACUAAUACUAUAGGCAAACGUUUUAUCUAAGUGAUAGCUAUAGGUCAUAGGAUUUAGUAGGAACUAACUGGUUUUGACAAGAGUAUCACGAUGUCAUAGAAUUCAAAACAUGUGUCACAAAAUAAGUUGCUGCAAUUGUUCCAUCAACUAUGUGAAGAUUUUAAGAUACCAUAAUAAUCCGUUUAUAUGAGAUAAGAUUCCUUAAAUUUUGAGCUAAUAGUAACAUGCCACUUGUUAUUGUAUGAUAGUUAAGCAAAUUUGUUCUUUCUACGCAUAUGUCCCCUUUUGUGGAUAGACUGUGGGUGGCAGUGGCAUCUAUGAUAGAGAAUGUAAUGACAGGAAAGUUGUGGUAGAAAGGUGUACUGAAAAUGUGUGGGAAGAUUAGUUAGUAACAUAAAUGAGUAACAUAAGAUAGAGAAGAUAAAUUUCAAGACUAUUUACGACUUCAAGAUUAUUUAAGAUAAAUGUGGUUUUGUCAAGGGUGCUAACAUCCAUUUCCGGUCCAUAAUACAACAAUACUCUUGAAUUGUACUCAAAAGGCUAUAUUCUUCGGUUUCCAACCCUCUUCAACAAUUAGUUGAGUCAAAUGCAAGACCGGGUUGUUGGAAAGUUUAGAAAAGACGGGUACAACGACGAGACUAAUGCUUUAGGAUUAAAGAGUGACUUUACUCUAAAUUUUAAGAUUUUAUUUGAAAAUUUGAAUGGUAGA